GAUUCAUAAAGAUGUUUAAGUUAUGCUUAAGUAUAAGAAAUUUCUUAAAUCAAUAAAAAAUACUUAAGUAACGCUAAGAAUGAGUAUUUAUCUUAAGUUUUAUUCAUAAAACAACUUAAUUCUUAGAAAAUUCUUAAACAAUUCUUAAAAGUAAGUGUAGUCUGUAGCAGACUUAAGUUUUCAGAAUUUCUUAAGUUCACAAAUAAAAUGGCUGCCAACAUAGUUCACAGAAGGAAUUUUAGAGAGAGAAAAGACUGUUUACAGCAGUACAGUGAUCGUGAACUUAUCGAACGUUUUCGGCUUGAUUCAGGUGGAAUCGUUUUUGUGGAAUCACUUAUUCGUGAUCAAAUAUCUAGUGGCUCUCGGCGUAAUAUGGCAUUAUCCUCUCUUCAGAAAGUUCUUCUUACUUUGAGGUUUCUAGCUACGGGCAAAAUGCAGCUGUGCAACGGCGAUGACAUGGGUGUUUCUCAGCCAACUGUCUCACGGGCCAUUACCGUAACACUGGCAAGCCUUACCUCCCCUCUUAUGAUCAGUCGGUUUGUACAAUUUCCAUCUAGCGCAGCAGAGAUUAGAAGAAACCAAGAGUCUUUUCACGCAAUCGCGGGCUUCCCAGGGAUAGUAGGCGCCAUCGAUGGUACCCACAUUCAAAUAAUUGCACCACACGAAUAUGAAAAUGAAUACGUCAAUAGACAUAACUACCACAGUAUUAACACACAAGUUGUUUUUGAUGCAAAAUAUAGAAUCAUUGAUGUUGUUGCUAAAUGGCCAGGCUCCACUCACGAUUCCCGAAUCCUUAACGAAAGUGGUUUGAGAGUCCUGUUCGAAAAUAAUCACAUCCCCAUUCACACACAUUUGCUUGGCGACAGCGGAUAUCCCUCCAAACGUUGGUUAUUGACUCCUUUUCUGAGACCAAACCAACCAUCGCAGUUGAAUUACAACAGGUAAAGAUUUAAAAUCUUCUUUCAUACACAAGACACAUGCACACCUUUAAAUAUUCUAAAUAAACAUGAUAAACGAGUCUUUGCUUUUCUCACAUCCAUAUUUCCCUCUUGGUAUAAACAAAUUCUGAUUGGUGUAAAAUUAGUUCGAAACUUAGCGCCCCCUAUUUGAGAAACAAUCGGGUGGAUCCAACAGUUUCCAAAUGGAGGGGUGUAAACAUGAAACUAAAUAAAAACCACUUCAAUAUUUGGUUUUAUUACUAUUAGUAGUAUUAGUAUUAUUAUUCCAAUUUACAUUUAUUGUAAAUUUUCUCCUCUUUCUUGCAUAUAUUGUUUAAAAAAUGUGGGGGGGGGGGACUUGUGGGAUUGACAAAAUAAGUAUGUAAAAGUGUUUCAACAUAUAAAUUAUAAAAUAUAUAUACUGGCACUUUCAUGAAUUGAAAUCAAAUGCAGACACUGCAUCAUGGAUAUGGAUAAUAUUAGUUAGGUAACGUCAAAUUCAGAAUAUAAUGUCACAUAAAUGUGAUGUAAACAGCUGUCAAUUCUUUAGACUGUGCAAUUUCAGCUUAAUUGACUCUUUUUGAUUAUUGCAAUUCUUAGAAUUUAAAUUCCUUUUCUUGCAUGUAAUCUAUAAAAUAAUAAAAUAUAUAUCUACUUUGAUUGUUUUAUUUCACUGACAUGUAAAUAAAGGGUACAUUAUUAAUUAUUUUGUAAAUAAAAGGGGGAGGGUGGUACAUGUCACAUGCACCUGACUAUCACAUACUCAGGUAACACAGUACCAGAAUAUAUAUUGAUAUCCAAUAUUUUUUUAAACAUAAAAUUCAAACUUAGAAAUUAUUUCGAUAUAAACAUAUAGCAUAACGAGAUGUGGGGAAUUUUCUUUUCUUUUCUUCUUCUUUUUUAACAAUUUGAAAAUAGAUGAGCAUUGACUAUUGGGGCGGGUGGAAGAUUUUUUUUACUACAAUAAUUCAUAUGAAACAUGCUUUAAUGAAAGUUUUGUCAUUCCCGGCAGUGUUUUGUUUUUUUGUUUUUUUUGUUGUUGUUUUUGUUUAAUUUAAUAUUAACAAUUAAUGCCUACAAUGGGGAUUUACUAUAGAAGUCUUCUGAAUGAUUUUUUUUUUGUAAUUCGCAUCCAAGAUAUUAUGCUUCUCAAAUAACAAUUGGUCAUACUUAAAACAUGCCCCCCCCCCCCCUUCUCUCUCUACACAUAAUGAUAUCAAUAUUAACAUAUAUAACUUGAUUGUUGUAUUCAUGUGAUUUAUUAUGUGUACAACAACCAAUUUUUUUAAAUAACCAAACCAAUCAGAUUUUACCAUACUGAUUUAUAGAGCUCACAAGAAAACACGAUCUGUGGUGGAAAGGGGUAUCGGACAACUGAAGAGGCGAUUUCAUGUACUACAUGGUGAAAUCCGCUUGUCACCUGAGAAGGCAUGUCAGGUUAUUUUGUCCUGUGCCAUUUUGCAUAACAUUUGCAAAGAUCGAUGCAUUCCAUGCCCACAAGAUCAUGAAGAUGAUGGUGAAGAUCAACAAGUUAAUGUACAUGUACCACACAUAUUUAACAACAAUGGCAAUGAUGGUCUGAGAUACCGACAACAGUUUGCAGAGACUCACUUUUGAGUUGCAUUGGGAGUUGUGUUAAUGUCCCUGCUGCUAUUGCCUGAGGUUACCAAUGGCAAUGAAGACUCCAGGACAGAUGUUACUUCUAGGGGAGUUGAUCCAAGAAUGUGGGGAUCUGUAUCUGGAGGUCCUUCAAUUACAUGGAUUCCCCUAUGAUGGGAAGAGGAAUACAUUAUUCUUUAUGAAUCUUGUAUUAAUCCAUUUGAGAAUGAUUAAAUGAUGACUUGGAUGAUUAGUUUAA